UGGGGAAUAUUGCACAAUGGAGGUAACUCUGAUGCAGCGACGCCGCGUGAACGAAGAAGGCUUUCGCGUCGUAAAGUUCUUUUAUAUGGGAAGAUAAUGACGGUACCAUAAGAAGAAGCCCCGGCUAACUACGUGCCAGCAGCCGCGGUAAUACGUAGGGGGCUAGCGUUGUCCGGAAUCACUGGGCGUAAAGGGUUCGCAGGCGGAAAUGCAAGUCAGGUGUAAAAGGCAGUAGCUUAACUACUGUAAGCAUUUGAAACUGCAUAUCUUGAGAAGAGUAGAGGUAAGUGGAAUUUUUAGUGUAGCGGUGAAAUGCGUAGAUAUUAAAAAGAAUACCGGUGGCGAAGGCGACUUACUGGGCUCAUUCUGACGCUGAGGAACGAAAGCGUGGGUAGCAAACAGG
rnacentral:rRNA from 1 species